rnacentral:ribozyme from 1 species
UUUUUUUUUUUUUUUUUUUUUUUUUUUUUCUC